GUCACGUGGAAAAGAAAACCAACGGAGCCAGCAGCCACCUGCGCCUGCGUACCAAGCUCUGGCCUGGCGGGCUCGGAGGGAAAAGGCGAGCGGGGAGGCGACUUCUUCGGGCGCCGCGCUGGUGCGCAGGCGCCGUCGCCAGACUGGGGACUUUGUUCUCCGCGGAGAAACCCAAGGGCGGUGCCGGUGGCUGGCUGCGCACGCGCGCCGCCUCAUUUCCGGUGCUCUCUCUCGCUGGGUCGCUCGGGUCGGCUUUGGUCGCUGUCGGUCCCGCUCUCCCACCCCCGCCAACUGCCGCCCGGGCCUCUGCCGCUGCCGCGUCGCUUCCUCGCUCCCUCGAUCGUACAUCUUCCCCGAUGCAGCGCCGGGACGACCCCGCCGCGCGCAUGAGCCGGUCCUCGGGCCGCAGCGGCUCCAUGGACCCCUCAGGUGCCCACCCCUCGGUGCGUCAGACGCCGUCUCGGCAGCCGCCGCUGCCUCACCGGUCCCGGGGAGGCGGAGGGGGGUCCCGAGGGGGUGCCCGGGCCUCGCCGGCCACGCAGCCGCCGCCGCUCCUGCCGCCCUCGGCCACGGGUCCCGACGCGACAGUGGGCGGUCCAGCGCCGACCCCACUGCUGCCCCCCUCAGCCACAGCCUCGGUCAAAAUGGAGCCAGAGAACAAGUACCUGCCCGAACUCAUGGCGGAGAAAGACUCGCUGGACCCGUCCUUCACUCACGCCAUGCAGCUCCUGACCGCAGAAAUUGAGAAGAUUCAGAAGGGAGAUUCGAAAAAGGAUGAUGAGGAGAAUUACUUGGAUUUAUUUUCUCAUAAGAAUAUGAAGCUGAAAGAGCGGGUGCUGAUACCUGUCAAGCAGUAUCCCAAGUUCAAUUUUGUGGGGAAGAUUCUUGGACCACAAGGGAAUACAAUCAAAAGACUGCAGGAAGAGACUGGUGCAAAGAUCUCUGUGUUGGGAAAGGGCUCAAUGAGAGACAAAGCCAAGGAGGAGGAGCUGCGCAAAGGUGGAGACCCGAAAUAUGCCCACUUGAAUAUGGAUCUACAUGUCUUCAUUGAAGUCUUUGGACCCCCAUGUGAGGCUUAUGCUCUUAUGGCCCAUGCCAUGGAAGAAGUCAAGAAAUUUUUAGUACCAGAUAUGAUGGAUGAUAUCUGCCAGGAACAAUUUCUAGAGCUGUCAUACUUGAAUGGAGUACCUGAGCCUUCUCGUGGACGUGGGGUGCCAGUGAGAGGUCGAGGAGCUGCACCUCCCCCUCCACCUGUUCCUAGGGGCCGUGGUGUUGGACCACCUCGUGGGGCUUUGGUGCGUGGUACUCCAGUGAGAGGAGCCAUCACCAGAGGUGCCACCGUGACUCGAGGCGUGCCACCCCCACCUACUGUGAGAGGUGCUCCAACACCAAGAGCACGAACAGCAGGCAUCCAGAGAAUACCUUUGCCUCCACCCCCUGCACCAGAAACAUAUGAAGAAUAUGGAUAUGAUGAUACAUAUGCAGAACAGAGUUAUGAAGGCUAUGAAGGUUAUUACAGCCAGAGCCAAGGGGAUUCAGAAUAUUAUGACUAUGGACAUGGGGAGGUUCAAGAUUCUUAUGAAGCUUAUGGCCAGGACGACUGGAAUGGGACAAGGCCAUCGCUGAAGGCCCCUCCAGCUAGGCCAGUGAAGGGAGCAUACAGAGAGCACCCAUAUGGACGUUAUUAAAAACAAACAUGAGGGGAAAAUAUCAGUUAUGAGCAAAGUUGUUACUGAUUUCUUGUAUCUCCCAGGAUUCCUGUUGCUUUACCCACAACAGACAAGUACUAGAAAACUCCUGAGGCAUUUCCUGGAAUAGAAUGGGUAGUGAAGACCCAUGUCAGCCAUCAGAGGACUCUGGAAACAGGAAAGCUACCUGCUACUGUAAAGUCUGGCCCGUGGGCAUUUGCUGAGCACAGAGAAACCCAGGAGAGGAGAUCAACAGUUUUGUUGCCCUACACCUCUUGAUUUUUGUGAUUUAUCCACAGAAAGCCAGCCAGGGUUCCCUUAAGAGUUGUUAGGCCCAGAGUGGAGACCUCAGGGCUGUAGGGGACCUUGAUGCUAUCAGUUUAGACCUCAAGACUUUAAAGAAUUGAAGGGGAGGAACAGUAUUAGAAUAAACUUUGGUAUUCCCAGUCUGCCUGCUUCACCUCAGCCUCCCACAGAACUGGCUGGAACACACUGCCACCGUCUAUCUCCCCCUCUCCCCCUCCACCGAUUCCUACCUGUGUGGUGUGGGUCACCCUGGGAGCCCUUGGACACAUCCAAAGGGCUCCCAGAGAGAGACUGAACAGUCAUCUGCUCUGUAAAAGGCUGAGGAAAGCCAGGCGAGAAGGUUCAGUUACUUUGGGCAAGUUAUUUAACCUAUUUUUCUCUUCAUUGGUCCAAAAAGCUCUCAAGGGUAGGUAGGGCUUCUCCUCCAUUUGUACUAUAUUCCUGCCACAAGCAUAUGCCCCUCAGGAGCUCAAUAAAGGUUUGGUCAAGUGAUGAAUGUUCCCACUCUAAUAGCUUCUAUCAGCUUUGGAAGAGAAUCAAAGCCUCCCUGUAGCUCCCACUUUCCUUCCAGCUAUGUAGUGGGCCAUGUUUUAACAUUUGUUGUAACAUUUUCUGUUGAAGAAUUAGAAAGCCAGCCUUUGGUAGGCUUCUGGUUUCCUGUGGCCUGUUUUUAAGUUAAUUUAUACUAAACUUUCACAGAGUUUAGGAACCUCCGAUACUGUACUCUUUCUUCCCUGACACCUUCUGGUUAAUUUUCCUAACAAAAGAACAAGGGGAAGAAGGACUGAGUUUAAGGAGACUUGAGAAUCUACAUUUUAACUGUACCUGGGGCAUUAUGAUGAGCCUGAAUUUAUUAUGUGUUAGGAACAGAGGUACAAUAGAAAGGGACAUUAAAAUCAGUUGAUUUACAUUGGGCAAGCUAUUUAACCUCUGAGCUUGGUUAUUAUAAAUAAUAACUAAUAAUUUAUUAUUUCUUAGUAUGUACCAAGCACUAUGUCAAGCAUUUAUAUGCACUAUUUCACUUGCUCCUCUAAUUCAUUAUACUGGUUUUACAGACAAAGAAACUGAAACUGAGCUCAAGAAGGAUAUAAAACUUGUGUAAGGUUAGAAUCAUACUAUUGGAUUUUGUAGUCCACACUUAUAACCUAUUUGAACCUCUUACAGCCACUGUUGCUCUGAAACAGUAAAGUGUUGUGUUUGUAUGAGAGGUUUGGUCAACCUUCCUGAUGCUGGGGCCCUUUAAUACAGUUUCUAUGCGUUGUGACCCACAAAUUGAGAACCUCUAAUGUAGGGUGACAAACCAUGCAGGUUUACCAAAGCCUGAGAUAGUUUCUGGGAUGCAGGACUUUCGGUGCUAAAAGUAGGAAAGUUACAGGCAAACCUAGAUGUAUUUGUCUCCCUGUUUGCAUUAGAGGCUUUCAGUCCAGGGAUAUACACUAAGACUGCUCUUUCCUUGGCUUCUUGGUCUGUUAGACCUCACUUCGUGGCCAGGGUUCCUUUAGUAUUUUGAAUACCUGCUUCCAUUCUAGUCACCAGGCAAGGUCAUCCUGGUCAUAGAUGAAGAGAGGAAUCAAGGCACAGAACCUGGGUCAUGGUCUUGAGGAGCUAGGAUCAGGUUCCUAGGCAACCAUACCUUCAACCCCCAGGUGUAGGAUAUCUACUUGGGAACCAAAGAGGUUCAUUUUAUAGGAAACCUCACAAGGCUGAAACCAAGCUGUUCUGGAUUCAAAUCUCAGCUCACCUUUUGUGUAUUUUCAGGGCUUGUUUACUCCACCAAAGUAGGAUAAUAAUCCCUACCCACUGAAUAGAGUUUGAGAAGCAAAUGAAAUGCGUUUGAAAUGCAUAGCACAGGGUCUGCCAUAAUAUUACUCAACACUUAAGUUUCCUUCCUCCUUUGUUUAAAGCUUACAGGUCUUAUUCAGGCCUGUCACCUGUCAUGUCUGUCUCACAUAGCUUCUGUCCUCCUCCAGUUACCGCUUUUGUCCCUAGGAAUCUUCCUUUGAGAGCCCUGACCUAAUGGACUUGGCCCACCCACUCAGCUGAGUUACCUCCUCUGCAAGCUGAGAAUGGAUGACAUCAGCCAGUCCCCCUAACCCCCUCCUAAGCCUUUGGACUGUUUUGAGCCAUAAAUAUUUUAGCUGGGCCCUUCUUGGCUGUUGCCAGGGUGAUGGGCUCUCAAGGGACUGGGGUGGGAGUAUAGAAGCAGAGGCGGGGCUGGCAACCUGGGGCCUAGCAGCAGAGCUGGCCCUAGUGGGGCCAGUAUGAGGGCUGGUCAAGAGCCAAUGCUUACAGCUCUGAUGGCUGUGCUCUGCCUGCCUUCCCUUCCUGAGCCCCUCAGAGCCAUUCCUAUUGCUUACAAGCUCAUCUCUGGUCUUUGGGUGCUUGUUGAUGCUAGGUAAAUUGUUAACAGGUCUCUGGGCGCAUUCAUUUUCCCUGCCUCAGUGCAGGUAAGUGGAGAAUACAAAGAAGGUAAAGCAGACUUCUGUAAAGUCCUGUGAAACACUGGGCUAAGUCAUGACUGGAGAAGCUAGGCUCCACUACACAUUUCCACAGACCUAAAGGCUGAGGUCCUGAUAGCAAUGUGGAUUCCACCCAAAAGAUGACACUCACUCCUCCCCCUACCUUAUGCUGCAAGCCCAGCUCCUUUUUCCUUAUUUUAUGUAUUAUUGAGACAGUCUCAAGCUGUUGCCUUGGGUAGAGUGCUGUAGCAUCAUAGCUCACAGCAACCUCCAACUCGUGGGAUUAAGUGACCCUCUUGCCUCAGUUUUUCUAUUUGUAGUAGAGACGGGGGUCUCACUUUUGCUCAGGCUGGUCUCGAACUUCUGAGCACAAACAAUCCACCUGCCUCAGCCUCCCAGAGUGCUAGUAGGAUUACAAGCAUGAGCCACUGUGCCCAGCCCCAGCUCCUUUUUCUAAGGUUCCCAGUUCUGGCUAGAUGACUUGGUCUGUAUUCUGAGAAGGAGUUGGACCUACUCACUUAAUGACCUGAGUUGAUAAAAAUCUAUUUUUUUUUUUUUUGAGACAGAGUCUCACUAUGUCACCCUGGGUAGAGUUCUGUGGUGUCACAGCUCACAGCAAACUGACACUCUUUGGCUGAAGCAAUUCACUUGCCUCAGCCUCCCAAGUAGCUGGAACUACAGGCACCCACCACAACACCCGGCUAUUUGUUGUCGUUGCAGUUGUCAUUGUUCAGCUGGCCCCAGCUGGGUUUGAACUCCCCAGCCUGGGUGUAUGUGGCCGGUGCCCUACCCACUGAACUACAGGCACUGCCUGAUAAAAAUCUUUGUUUCAGAUACAGAAACCCAAGCUCCUAGACUAGAUCUGGCCCUGGCCCUCAUCUAUUCCCUCCACCCCAAUUUCUAGAGACAUAGCUAGCUACUAAACUCUUCAGGGG